rnacentral:rRNA from 1 species
AUACGGAGGGGGCUAGCGUUGUUCGGAAUUACUGGGCGUAAAGCGCGCGUAGGCGGAUUGAUCAGUCAGGGGUGAAAUCCCGAGGCUUAACCUCGGAACUGCCUUUGAUACUGUCAAUCUUGAGUUCGAGAGAGGUGAGUGGAAUUCCUAGUGUAGAGGUGAAAUUCGUAGAUAUUAGGAAGAACACCAGUGGCGAAGGCGGCUCACUGGCUCGAUACUGACGCUGAGGUGCGAAAGCGUGGGGAGCAAACAGGAUUAGAAACCCCGGUAGUCC